UACGUAGGAUGCGAGCGUUAUCCGGAUUUAUUGGGUUUAAAGGGCGCGUAGGCGGAUUUUUAAGUCAGCGGUAAAAUGUCCGGGCUCAACCCGGGCCGGCCGUUGAAACUGGGGAUCUUGAGUGGGCGAGAAGUAUGCGGAAUGCGUGGUGUAGCGGUGAAAUGCAUAGAUAUCACGCAGAACUCCGAUUGCGAAGGCAGCAUACCGGCGCCCGACUGACGCUGAGGCACGAAAGCGUGGGGAUCGAACAGG
rnacentral:rRNA from 1 species